rnacentral:rRNA from 1 species
GAAGGCUGAAAUUCGCCUUCAUGAAGCUGGAAUUGCUAGUAAUGGCAGGUCAGCAUACUGCCGUGAAUACGUUCCCGGGCCUUGUACACACCGCCCGUCACACCAUGAGAGUUGGAAAUACCCGAAGCCUGUGAGCUAACUUAAAGAGGCAGCAGUCGAAGGUAGAGCCAAUGAUUGGGGUGAAGUCGUAACAAGGUAUC